rnacentral:rRNA from 1 species
CCGGAGUGAACGCACCACUGGUGUUCGGGUUGUCAUGCCAAUGGCAUUGCCCGGUAGCUAAGUGCGGAAGAGAUAACCGCUGAAAGCAUCUAAGCGGGAAACUUGCCUCGAGAUGAGUCUUCCCUGUCGCUUUAAGCGACCUAAAGGAACGUUUAAGACUAAGACGUUGAUAGGCUGGGUGUGUAAGCGUAGCGAUACGUUGAGCUAACCAGUACUAAUGAACCGUGAGGCUUAACCUG